rnacentral:rRNA from 1 species
CCCUAUUCGGGGCUAAUACAUGACCAAGUCGAACGCACUCUCGUUUAGAUUGAAGGAGCUUGCUCCUGAUUGAUAAACAUUUGAGUGAGUGGCGGACGGGUGAGUAACACGUGGGUAACCUGCCCUAAAGUGGGGGAUAACAUUUGGAAACAGAUGCUAAUACCGCAUAAAACCUAACACCGCAUGGUGUAGGGUUGAAAGAUGGUUUCGGCUAUCACUUUAGGAUGGACCCGCGGUGCAUUAGUUAGUUGGUGAGGUAAAGGCUCACCAAGACCGUGAUGCAUAGCCGACCUGAGAGGGUAAUCGGCCACACUGGGACUGAGACACGGCCCAGACUCCUACGGGAGGCAGCAGUAGGGAAUCUUCCACAAUGGACGAAAGUCUGAUGGAGCAACGCCGCGUGAGUGAAGAAGGUUUUCGGAUCGUAAAACUCUGUUGUUGGAGAAGAAUGUAUCUGAUAGUAACUGAUCAGGUAGUGACGGUAUCCAACCAGAAAGCCACGGCUAACUACGUGCCAGCAGCCGCGGUAAUACGUAGGUGGCAAGCGUUGUCCGGAUUUAUUGGGCGUAAAGCGAGCGCAGGCGGUUUCUUAAGUCUGAUGUGAAAGCCUUCGGCUCAACCGAAGAAGUGCAUCGGAAACUGGGAAACUUGAGUGCAGAAGAGGACAGUGGAACUCCAUGUGUAGCGGUGAAAUGCGUAGAUAUAUGGAAGAACACCAGUGGCGAAGGCGGCUGUCUGGUCUGUAACUGACGCUGAGGCUCGAAAGCAUGGGUAGCAAACAGGAUUAGAUACCCUGGUAGUCCAUGCCGUAAACGAUGAGUGCUAGGUGUUGGAGGGUUUCCGCCCUUCAGUGCCGCAGCUAACGCAUUAAGCACUCCGCCUGGAGAGUACGACCGCAAGGUUGAAACUCAGAGGAAUUGACGGGGGCCCGCACAAGCGGUGGAGCAUGUGGUUUAAUUCGAAGCAACGCGAAGAACCUUACCAGGUCUUGACAUCCUUUGACCACUCUAGAGAUAGAGCUUUCCCUUCGGGGACAAAGUGACAGGUGGUGCAUGGUUGUCGUCAGCUCGUGUCGUGAGAUGUUGGGUAAGUCCCGCAACGAGCGCACCCUUAUUACUAGUUGCCAGCAUUAGUUGGGCA